CCCGGUGUAGCGGUGAAAUGCGUAGAUAUCGGGAAGAACACCAGUGGCGAAGGCGCUCUGCUGGGCCAUCACUGACGCUCAUGGACGAAAGCCAGNNNAGCGAAAGGGAUUAGAUACCCCUGUAGUCCUGGCCGUAAACGAUGAACACUAGGUGUCGGGGGAAUCGACCCCCUCGGUGUCGUAGCCAACGCGUUAAGUGUUCCGCCUGGGGAGUACGCACGCAAGUGUGAAACUCAAAGGAAUUGACGGGGGCCCGCACAAGCGGUGGAGUAUGUGGUUUAAUUCGAUGCAACGCGAAGAACCUUACCAGGGUUUGACAUCCUGCGAAUCUCUUGGAAACAGGAGAGUGCCUUCGGGAACGCAGUGACAGGUGGUGCAUGGCUGUCGUCAGCUCGUGUCGUGAGAUGUUGGGUUAAGUCCCGCAACGAGCGCAACCCACGUCUUUAGUUGCCAGCAUUUAGUUGGGCACUCUAGAGAGACUGCCGGUGAUAAACCGGAGGAAGGUGUGGAUGACGUCAAGUCAUCAUGCCCCUUACAUCCUGGGCUACACACGUACUACAAUGCUACGGACAAAGGGCAGCAAGUUCGCGAGGACAAGCAAAUCCCAUAAACCGUGGCUCAGUUCAGAUCGUAGGCUGCAACUCGCCUACGUGAAGGCGGAAUCGCUAGUAAUCGCAGGUCAGCAUACUGCGGUGAAUACGUUCCCGGGCCUUGUACACACCGCCCGUCACACCAUGGAAGUUGGCCACGCCCGAAGCCGUUACUCCAACCCUUGUGGAGGAGGACGUCGAAGGUGGGGCUGAUGACUGGGGUGAAGUCGUAACAAGGUAACC
rnacentral:rRNA from 1 species